rnacentral:rRNA from 1 species
UCGGGUGGGUCUUUGCGGUCCGCCUCUGGUGAGUACUGCUAAGGCCCAUCUUUCUGUCGGGGACGGGCUCCUGGGCUUCACUGUCUGGGACUCGGAGUCGACGUUGUGACUUUGAGUAAAUUAGAGUGUUCAAAGCAAGCCUACGCUCUGAAUACAUUAGCAUGGAAUCACAUGAUAGGACUCUGGCCUAUCUUGUUGGUCUGUAGGACUGGAGUAAUGAUUAAGAGGGACAGUCGGGGGCAUUCGUAUUUCAUUGUCAGAGGUGAAAUUCUUGGAUUUAUGAAAGACGAACUUCUGCGAAAGCAUUUGCCAAGGAUGUUUUCAUUAAUCAAGAACGAAAGUUGGGGGCUCGAAGACGAUUAGAUACNNNNGUAGUCAA